GUGGGGAAUCUUAGACAAUGGGGGAAACCCUGAUCUAGCCAUGCCGCGUGAGCGAUGAAGGCCUUAGGGUUGUAAAGCUCUUUCAGCUGGGAAGAUAAUGACGGUACCAGCAGAAGAAGCCCCGGCUAACUCCGUGCCAGCAGCCGCGGUAAUACGGAGGGGGCUAGCGUUGUUCGGAAUUACUGGGCGUAAAGCGCACGUAGGCGGAUCAGAAAGUCAGAGGUGAAAUCCCAGGGCUCAACCUUGGAACUGCCUUUGAAACUCCUGAUCUUGAGGUCGAGAGAGGUGAGUGGAAUUCCGGGUGUAGAGGUGAAAUUCGUAGAUAUUCGGAGGAACGCCAGUGGCGAAGGCGGCUCACUGGCUCGAUACUGACGCUGAGGUGCGAAAGCGUGGGGAGCAAACAGGAUUAGAAACCCCAGUAGUCC
rnacentral:rRNA from 1 species